AUUGAACGCUGGCGGCAGGCUUAACACAUGCAAGUCGAGCGGGGGAAGGUAGCUUGCUACCGGACCUAGCGGCGGACGGGUGAGUAAUGCUUAGGAAUCUGCCUAUUAGUGGGGGACAACAUCUGGAAAGGGAUGCUAAUACCGCAUACGUCCUACGGGAGAAAGCAGGGGAUCUUCGGACCUUGCGCUAAUAGAUGAGCCUAAGUCGGAUUAGCUAGUUGGUGGGGUAAAGGCCUACCAAGGCGACGAUCUGUAGCGGGUCUGAGAGGAUGAUCCGCCACACUGGGACUGAGACACGGCCCAGACUCCUACGGGAGGCAGCAGUGGGGAAUAUUGGACAAUGGGGGGAACCCUGAUCCAGCCAUGCCGCGUGUGUGAAGAAGGCCUUAUGGUUGUAAAGCACUUUAAGCGAGGAGGAGGCUACUCUAGUUAAUACCUAGGGAUAGUGGACGUUACUCGCAGAAUAAGCGCCGGCUAACUCUGUGCCAGCAGCCGCCGUAA
rnacentral:rRNA from 1 species